rnacentral:rRNA from 1 species
CCUACGGGAGGCUGCAGUGAGGAAUAUUGGUCAAUGGGCGCGAGCCUGAACCAGCCAAGUAGCGUGAAGGAUGACUGCCCUACGGGUUGUAAACUUCUUUUAUAAAGGAAUAAAGUGAGGCACGUGUGCCUUGUUGGAGGGACGUUAUGAAGAAGGAUCGGCUAACUCCGUGCCAGCAGCCGCGGUAAUACGGAGGAUCCGAGCGUUAUCCGGAUUUAUUGGGUUUAAAGGGAGCGUAGAGGGGUUGUUAAGUCAGUGGUGAAAGUUUGCGGCUCAACCGUAAAAUUGCAAUUGAUACUGGCAUCCUUGCGUCCAGUUGAGGUAGGCGGCAUUCGUGGUGUAGCUG